AACGCAUAGUGCGCCCACUUUUUAGUGGGCAUGCCUGUUUGAGGGUGGUGUGCAUAUUGUGUCGAGGCAUGAGUAGUGCGUGACAUGGCAUGUCAUGCACAUGUGCAUGGCAUGUGCAUGUGCAUGUGCAUGCACAUCAUCGCACAUUACAUUACAUGUCUUGGCGUUGGUGAGGGUCGUGCAGACAGCGCGCUGUCCCGUCCCUCUAAAUGCAGUCAGUGUGGCGCUGAUGAUUAAAGGGCAGGUGCGCGUGGUAGGUGAAUGCUGUGCCGCAAUUGCUGGCGGGUGCUGGCAACUGUGGCAGAACAUGUAAUCGACUCUUUCGCACACUGGCCUGGCCAAUCAGCAGCAGGACGUCACUUCCCGCUCCCUCUCUCAUCAUCAUAUCCCACCUCAAAUCAGGCAAGACUACCCGCUGAACUUAA
rnacentral:misc_RNA from 1 species